AUAUAUAUGGUAUUUUGGCAUCAUAUAUAGAGAGAGAGUACAACUCUCUCUCUCUCUCUCUCUCUCUCUCUCUCUACAUAUAUAUAUAUAUAUAUAUAUAUAUAUAUAGAGAGAGAGAGAGAGAGAGAGAGAGAGAGAGUUGUACUCUCUCUCUAUAUAUGAUGCCAAAAUACCAUAUAUAUACUGCU